rnacentral:rRNA from 1 species
CGGGGUGAGUAAUGUCUGGGAAACUGCCUGAUGGAGGGGGAUAACUACUGGAAACGGUAGCUAAUACCGCAUAACGUCGCAAGACCACAGAGGGGGACCUUCGGGCCUCUUGCCAUCGGAUGUGCCCAGAUGGGAUUAGCUAGUAGGUGGGGUAACGGCUCACCUAGGCGACGAUCCCUAGCUGGUCUGAGAGGAUGACCAGCCACACUGGAACUGAGACACGGUCCAG